GUGCUGAGAUUGGUAGAUUUUGAGGGAGGAUUAGAGUUAGGGUUUGGGUUUGAAUCAGGGCAAUCGCGCGACCAGUGGCCUGGCCGCCCACACUUGUAGCAACCAGUGGGCGCUGCUUUUGCAGGUUCCAUUUUGUUUCCCGUCUCUGUUGAGUCGGGGAAUUUUGUGCGUUAUCACAAAGUUGUAUUUCUUUUUGGCGGGCAAAGGAGGGAAGAAUUAGCGUGGC
rnacentral:misc_RNA from 1 species